rnacentral:pre_miRNA from 1 species
UCAUUCUUCAAAGUGGCUGCGAAAUGUUUUCUCUUUUAAAUUUAAUUUUAAUAUUCAUAUCACAGCCAGCUUUGAGGAGCGUCA